GGGCGGGUAGCUCAGUUGGUUAGAGCAUCGCGUUGACAUCGCGAAGGUCGUAGGUUCGAGUCCUAUCUCGCCCACAA
rnacentral:tRNA from 1 species